rnacentral:rRNA from 1 species
AUUGAACGCUGGCGGCAUGCCUUACACAUGCAAGUCGAACGGCAGCACGGGGCAACCUGGUGGCGAGUGGCGAACGGGUGAGUAAUGCAUCGGAACGUACCUUUCAGUGGGGGAUAACGUAGCAAAAGUUACGCUAAUACCGCAUAUUCUGUGAGCAGGAAAGCAGGGGAUCGCAAGACCUUGCGCUGAUUGAGCGGCCGAUGUCAGAUUAGCUAGUUGGUGAGGUAAAGGCUCACCAAGGCGACGAUCUGUAGCGGGUCUGAGAGGAUGAUCCGCCACACUGGAACUGAGACACGGUCCAGACUCCUACGGGAGGCAGCAGUGGGGAAUUUUGGACAAUGGGGGCAACCCUGAUCCAGCCAUGCCGCGUGAGUGAAGAAGGCCUUCGGGUUGUAAAGCUCUUUCGGCCGGGAAGAAAUCGCACGGGCUAAUACCCUGUGUGGAUGACGGUACCGGAAUAAGAAGCACCGGCUAACUACGUGCCAGCCGCCGCUGUAAUAC